rnacentral:rRNA from 1 species
UACGUAGGUGACCAGCGUUGUCCGGAUUUACUGGGCGUAAAGAGCGCGCAGGCGGUCGUUCAAGUCGAGUGUGAAAGCCCCCGGCUCAACUGGGGAGGGUCACUCGAUACUGAUCGACUUGAAGGCAGGAGAGGGAAGCGGAAUUCCCGGUGUAGUGGUGAAAUGCGUAGAUAUGUGGAGGAACACCGAUGGCGAAGGCAGCCCCCUGGGCUAGUACUGACGCUCAUGCACGAAAGCGUGGGGAGCAAACAGG